UCACGUGUCAGAAGCGUGAUCGUCUCAUGGCGAUCCAGAGUUGACCUGGAAUACCUGGACUAAUUAAAAACGUUGAUUACUAAUUAGCGUUUUCGUCCACUCUUUACGCAGAAAGCCACAAGCGACAACGCCCCAGUAGCAAACGUACAUGAUGGAGUGCGGUCGAUUUUGUGUGUGGCUGGUGCUAGAAUAUUACGCCAAUUCUUUAUUACGUUGUCUCUUCGGAACAAUAUUCAGAAUUUCAAAAGUGGAAGAAGUAAUGAAGAUUCGAAACCGAGGAAAAAGUCUACAACUUUCUUAAACACUUGUUGAAAGUUGACAAAGCAUCAUACUACUUUAUCAAUAAGAGAAAUUCGUCUGAGUGAGAUGGAAGCCUAUGGAGUCUGACCAGCAAAGCAACUUUCUGAAACACUGCUUGGAAGUUAGAAAGACAGUACAUCGUUUUAUUGUCAUUUGUCUUGUAUUCAUCACUGAGUGAGAUGGAAGUUGGUCGAGUCUGGUCAGCAAAAGAACUUUCUAAGACACUGCUUGGAAGUUUGCAGGAAAACUUUCAUCAAAAGAAUUCUGUCGUGGUCAUUUGUCUGGUGUUCAUCACUGAGCAAGAUGAAAGCCUAUCGAGUCUGGCCAGCAG